rnacentral:rRNA from 1 species
UACGUAGGGGGCAAGCGUUGUCCGGAUUUAUUGGGCGUAAAGAGCGUGUAGGCGGCCUGGUAGGUCAGCUGUGAAAACUCGAGGCUCAACCUCGAGACGCCGGUUGAAACCAUCAGGCUAGAGUCCGGAAGAGGAGAGUGGAAUUCCCGGUGUAGCGGUGAAAUGCGCAGAUAUCGGGAAGAACACCCGUGGCUAAGGCGGCUCUCUAGUACGGUACUGACGCUGAGGAGCGAAAGCGUGGGUAGCAAACAGG